rnacentral:rRNA from 1 species
UACAGAGGUCCCAAGCGUUGUUCGGAUUUACUGGGCGUAAAGGGUGCGUAGGUGGUCGGGUAAGUCUCAUGUGAAAUCCCGCAGCUUAACUGCGGAACGGCAUGGGAUACUAUUCGGCUCGAGGAUUGGAGGGGGACUGGAAUUCCCGGUGUAGCGGUGAAAUGCGCAGAUAUCAGGAGGAACACCGGUGGCGAAGGCGGGUCUCUGGGCCGAUACUGACGCUGAGGAGCGAAGCGUGGGAGCGAACAGG